GGCCGCGGUAUCCUAACCGUGCGAAGGUAGCGUAAUCACUUGUUCUUUAAUUGAGGACUAGUAUGAACGGCCCCACGACGACAACACUGUCUCCUUUUUCUAAUCAAUGAAACUGUCUCCUCGUGAAGAAGCGAGGAUAAAUAUAUAAGACGAGAAGACCCUAUGGAGCUUUAAACAACCGGGGUACUUGCUAAUUCCUAAUUCACUUUCUGAAAGCUAAACAAAUUAAAGCAUCUUACCCCCUAGUUUUAGGUUGGGGUGACCACGGAGAAAAAACCAACCUCCACGCUGUAAGAAGCCUCCCAUCUUCUAAGCUAAGAGUUACAUCUCUAAGCAUCAACACAUUGACUACCAUUGACCCAAUAAUUUGAUCAACGAACCAAGUUACCCUAGGGAUAACAGCGCAAUCUACUUUAAGAGCUCAUUCGACAAGUAGGUUUACGACCUCGAUGUUGGAUCAGGGUAUCCUAGUGGUGCAGCCGCUACUAAUGAAUUGUCU
rnacentral:rRNA from 1 species